UCAGCUGGAUAGCUUCAAUCCCUUGAUCUCUCUCUUCCUCUAGCUACAUAGCUGGAUCUACUGCACACUUCAUCAAUGUUUUCUUCUAAUCGGGCAGUGCUUUCUGUUGCUAUCAGCAUUGCACUGUCCAUGGGGCCACCAGUGAUGGCUGACUUGCAGGACAAUUGCCGCACGAUUUGUCGCCCUAAGUGCGAUGACUUCGCUAUUGAGGUGUGCACAAGUCUCACUAAUAUUGUCCCUAUCCUUAAUAAUGUUGAUUUUUUCUUUAGGACGUGCAAAGUGCGGAUCUCUGCACCAUGUACGUCCCUCUGCAUCAACAUCUGCAGCCUGGAUACCCUGACGCCGGCACCGCGGGCCAGCCCCCCAUCACCACCGUGCAAGCCAUACUGAUGCCUGCAAGUUACUUCUUAAAUAUUACUAAUCAGUAAGCGUAAUGUCUCUAUGUAAUAAAGUGCCCUUGCUCCCGGUAUAUGCUUGCCGGCUAGAGGAUCGAAGAGUAGAUGAAUCAACGAGGUCAUCAGUGUUCUCAUGCU
rnacentral:lncRNA from 1 species